CCUCAAUACAACACUAAGAUAUGCAAAUCCGGGGUUUCAAACCCUCAUGAUAUCAUUCCCAAAUAUUACUCACCUCGAACCGGCGAAAUCUCAAGCUCGCGACGCCUUUGCAUGAAGAAUCAACCUCCAUGCGCGUGGAAUCUGGCCAAAAACAGAGCAAAUACAUCACAAUAUACAAAUGGAGCAAUACCCAAUCGAAAACAAUCGAGAAAUAGCAAGAAUCUCAAACUAGCAAAACCCGAGCGACGGGCCCACUUCUCGAAAAAUUACGAAACUUACAUUUUUGGAAUCCUCGUCUCGCCACGAGUCCGUACAAAUAAACUUCAUCAAUAUCGGAGUCCAAUUGCUCCUCCAAAUCCCCAAUUUACAUUCAAAAUUUCAAGCCCUAGUUCAUCUCUUUUGAUUUGAUUCCAGAAAUUUAAGGGCUAAAUUCAUGUUUAAAAGAGGUUUUGGGUACAUAAAACUUACCUCUAAUCAGUCCUCUUCGAAUCCCUCUUCAAUUUACUCUGAAAGCUCUCCAAGAUGCCAAACAAUGGAGGAAAUAAGACCUUGCUCGCGGAUGAAAUGUGAUAACUUAAACCCUUCUGCCCAACUCGAUUUCCGCUUAUGCGGUCCAUAGAGCGUUCCUGCGGUCGCUGCUUACUCGUCCCUUUGACCGCUUCAACGGUCUGACUUGAAUCUUCAGUGACCGCUUCUGCGGUCCUUGACCGCUUCCGCGGCUACCGCUUACGCGGUCACCUGUCCGCUUCAGCGGUCCCAGCCCUUUUUUCCCUUGGCCGCUUUUGCGGUCCUUCAGCCGCGUCCGCGGAUCUGUUUAGGCGACUCCUUUUCCGCUGACAUGAAAAUAGCAGAAGCAGCAAUACAAAAACAUGCAUAAACUCCUACAACCUCCGUUCAACCAUCCAAAAUCACCCCGAGACCCCCGGGGUCCAAACCAAAAACACAACUAUUACCAAAUACCUCAUUCAAACUUGCUCGAGCCAUAAGAACACUAUCACUAACAUCAAAAAUCACCAAAUUCCUCAAAUCCAAGCCUAAAUUUCUUAAGAACUUUCGAAAUGUGCAUACAAUCAAAAAUCCAACCAAACGACGUCCGAAUAACCUGAAAAUUUGCAGACAUAUCCAAAAUCACCUAACGAAGCUGCUGCCACUCUCGAAAUUCCAUUCCAACUCUCGGAUCAAAAUCUCACCUAUCAAUCAUAAUCCGCCAAAAUUCAGAAUUCGCCAAUUCAAGCCUAAUUCUACAUCGGACCCUCAAAUUUAAUUCCGCCCACUCUCCUAAGUCACAAAUCAUCUCCCGAAGCUAACCAAAACAUCGAAAAUCAUAUUCGAGCCUUCUAAAUCACAAGUCAACUUCCGGUUGACUUUUCCAAAACAAGCUUCCUUCUAAGAGGCCAAGUGCCUCUAACCGAAUCAUCGAAAAUCACAUCCAAGCCUUCUAACUCACAAGUGAACUUCUAGUUGAAUUUUCCAAACAAGCUUCCUUUUAAUAGGCCAUGUGCCUUAUUUUCAACCGAAACCAAUUCAAUUAUACCCGAUCGACUCUAAUACUGAUAUUGAAACAUGAAACAACAUAAUAACGGGAAAAAGGAGCAGUAACACAUAGUACGAUGGGUCGGGUCGUCACAAUAGUAGUGUUGGAUUGCAUAGAGAUGUUCAUAACACUCAGCGGAAGAUAAUAACAAUCCUCGGUAGAACUUUUCAUUUCUAAAUUUAUUUACAUAUUAAAGAUUGGAUCUAAGACAUACCUGGUGAAGAGAAUGUUGUUUCAAAAUUUUUUCGAUAGUGCAAAAAACCUAUGUGUAUCCACACUGAGACCAAUCCUUUUUAUCAACUCUUUGAUCAAUGAAACCGUGAAUAAAUUGAACAAAAUUAUGUACUGAAAUUUUUCUAAAAACUUUCAGCAAGAAAGAACAUAGAAAACUAUUUUCUUGUCAAGAACGUAUUUCUCUUAGAAUUUAGUAAGGUGCUUUCAACU
rnacentral:lncRNA from 1 species